GAUGCUUGUACAUGGCGGCUCAUUAAAAACCACCAACCCUUAAGUUUUGGCGGUUCAUAAUUCUUCUAUAAAAGGACCCAUUGAAGCUUUGUCAAAAACCCUAACCCGCAUAUCCUACCUAUCCCUUCAGCGGCGGAAAGAGGCAAAGUGUGGUGAGGAAAUGUGGAGGUGCGCAUUGCUCAUGGAUUUUGUGGAUCUGCUUUCACCAGAUCCACCCCUAAACUCACCUGCUUAGUUAGAUCUCACGUUUCUAGAAUUUUUUAAUUUUUUUUUAUAUAAGCCUCUUCUGUUUAUCACCAAUCUUAACUUUUCCAUGUUUCCUUCCCAUUGGUAUUUAAUCACUUUGCCCUUUGCUUUCACUUCAAUUUCAUUUCAUUUUGAACUCUUAUCUAUUACAUCUUUGAAACUAUUCCUUGAAGUUUUUUUAUAUAUAAAGAAUUAAUAAUUGUAAAUUUUAUGUGGAUGUUUUGUUUUACUUGAGCAAAAUUGUUUUUGGUGUUGGUGGCGUAGAUUGAGUGCUUCAAUACUGAUUUUAUCACCAAUUUCUUUCCAACUCGUUCAUACACUAUUGCAGAUCAGGUUACUGAUGAAAUAAGGACAGAAGUGAAGUAUCAACGGAUUUUCUGGAACAACUGGUACAUAAUUUUGAUAUAAUCCCAGUUUCACUUAGUUUUGAUUCUUAUUGGUCUAACCAAAGAUCACUGGUAUUGAUCAAUGAACAUAAGUAAUUUACGAGCAAGAAAAAGAUGUACCUUCUUUUUGACUUUGUACCAAUGUCAAGAGAUAAAGAGGACAGAAGAUACACUUUUUACUUUCACUGUAUUCAUUUGAAUAAUAUACCGUCUUAUUAAAUACUUUUCAAAUACGAUUAGGUAUGGUAUUGA